AGUGAGAGGAUGAUAGUGAGAGUGAGAGUGAGAGUGAGAGUGGAAAACUGAAUGUUCUUCAGAUAAGACAGCGAAAGAGGAGGCCCGAGAGUAGUUGAAUGGGCUUAAUUUUAUCGUUAACAAUAUAAUAUAAUGCCGAUGAACCUGACCUUUACACGUGUCGAUAUCAAAAUGGUGCCGACAUCUGCAUUCCACGACCAUACCAUAUCACUCGUGACUGAAUUAUAAUGUUGGUUUCUAGAUUUGGC
rnacentral:lncRNA from 1 species